GGGUCGUUAGCUCAGUCGGUAGAGCAGCGGACUUUUAAUCCGUAGGUCGCAGGUUCGAUUCCUGCACGACCCACCA
rnacentral:tRNA from 1 species